CACAUCAGAUCGAAAGUUGGCAGGUAAUGGCUGCACUGAGGGUGUUGUGUGCAUCGUGUUCACGCCGGGUUGCUGUUCGUGUUGUUCCUCGCGUGGCUGUGGGUUUGUUUCUCAGGACUAAACUCCAGCAAACAGAUUUAACUCUGCAAUCAUACAUCCAUCAUCACAAAGCCAGAGUUUUAUCCUCGAACCUCCACCUGAACCCAGUGUUAAUGUCAGCUUCUGUUUCCACAUCAACAUCUGCUGCUAUGAUGAGCCACAGGAUGGUGUGGGUGGAUUUAGAGAUGACAGGACUGGAUAUAGAAAAGGAUGAGAUUAUCGAAAUGGCAUGCAUCAUCACAGACUCAGAUCUCAACAUCAUCGCUGAGGGUCCUAAUCUGAUCAUCAAUCAGCCGGACGAGCUGCUCGACAGCAUGUCGGAUUGGUGCAAGGAGCAUCACGGGAAGUCAGGGUUGACGCAGGCAGUGCGGGACAGUAAGAUCUCACUCCAGCAGGCAGAGUAUGAGUUCAUAUCAUUCGUCAGACAGCACACACCACCGGGCCAGUGUCCUCUGGCAGGAAACUCUGUGCACGCUGAUAAGAGGUUUUUGGACAAGUACAUGCCCCAGUUCAUGCAUCAUCUCCACUAUCGCAUCAUCGACGUGAGCACGGUCAAGGAGCUUUGCAGACGCUGGUUUCCAGACGACUACAAACAUGCACCUCAAAAGAAAUCUUCACACAGGUCAGUGUUAAAAAGGACAGCAGCUACACCUCCUUCAGAGUGACUGAGACCCAUAGGCCACGCCUCCUUCCGAGUGACUGAGACCCAUAGGCCACGCCUCUUUUAUAAGCGCUGGGUGACAUUCAAGAGAGCAUCAAAGAGCUGAAGUUUUACAGAGAGACCGUCUUCAAACCCCAAGGAGAAGAGAAGAAGAGAAAGAUUGUUGAAAAUGGAGAGAACAAACACACGGCCUAAAACACACCUGCUAUGACUGUGGAGAGUGUGUGUGUGUGUGUGUGUGUGUGUGUGAGUGAGUGAGAGGGAGAGUGAGUGAGUGAGAGGGAGAGAGAGAGAGAGGGAGAGAGACGGAUGUUCUGUGUUCUUUAUUUUAUCAUCUGAUACAGUCCUGGUUUCACAUACACUUUUAGUUCUCAGUAUUGCUACAGAAAUUAGGAACAACUUGAUUUUUUUUUCAUGCUGCUUUGAAUUUGUUCAUCUGUCUGUGCUGUUUGCUGAAGCGCAAAUACAAAAUGUGAACACUGA